AACUAACCUUACCAGGAUAUUCCUUUAACUUCAGCGUCAAAGACAAUGAGGAACUAUGAAGUGGUACAUUAUGGACGCAUUAAUCAAAUCCUCUACCUUCGUGCUGAAGACCUUGGCUUUGAGACUAGACUCCUUGUUGGGUAAAGUGGCAAGAGGCCAUAUACGUUCACUGACCGAUGAGGCCCGUGAUCACCAUGGUAACACCAAGGCAAAGGCUUGCAGAGUGGAUUGGUGUACAUGAGCGCCAACCGAAGAAAAUGCGUGGAUGCUUUACAGUGGGUUGAGCAUGUGCUGGAUGAUGAAUAUCACCGAUGACGUCUCCAUGGCAACACACACCAAGCAACGGCGUCUACUUUGAGGAACACAAGGCUGCUUGAUUGGAAUUCUUUAAAACAAACUGUCAAAAAUGACGCACAAAAUAUUUGAACAGAAGUUUGCAUCAUGCUCCUUAACCUCUGCCCUAAAACCUUUUGGUCUCCAAAUAGAUCUCUGUACAUGUGUAAUGACAAAUUGAGUUUGUAGCUAUGUUACCUUUUUGGGAAUUGGUUUUGACAUGAACACUCAACAUUUUGGGCGUUUUUCUAAUCCAAAGAGUAUUAUGCCAAGCAGGUCAGAAAAUGGACACUUCCCUAAAAAACACUUUGAAAUUGUCAAAGUCAUCAUGAAUAGUAGUUGACCUUAAAAACUCAUUCUUGUUUAAUAAAAUACAUUAUUAAUUUGGAAGUUUAAAAAUGAUGUAAUCUAGAAGUGGUAUUUGCGAGAAUUUUGUGACUUAUUAUUUUACGUCAUUGUGACGUCCAUUAUUUGUUGAUUAAAUUCUCAUGUGAUGGGUAUCAACAUUCUCUUAUCCUAUCAGACGAUGUGUUACAAUCAGAGCAUGGUUACAGCAUAAACCUCUAAAAAGACUAUAGGGCAGAUAAGAAUGUUUUUCUUGAAUGCCCUUUGUACAAUGUAGUUUGUAAUUUUUCGUCUUUGAUUUUCAAAUUAAAGUGCCAAAUUUAGUGGUGUCGAGCGCAGUCAAUAAAUUCUCAGUAAUGUCCCUUGACAAGUUAAA